UCAGAGAGUGCGCUAACGCAUGAAAUCAGCAGCCUAAAGACUACGGCCGCAAGGCUAAAAUUUAAAGGAAUUGACGGGGGCUUACACAAGCGGUGGAGCAUGUGGUUUAAUUCGAAACAACGCGCAGAACCUUACCAAUCCUUGCAAUAUACAGAAAGCGAAGGUUAUGCUUUGUAUUUUGGUAUACCGGAGCUGAA
rnacentral:rRNA from 13 species